GGUAGUUACUAUACCCACUUUUCAGAAUAGGACACUGAGGCUAAGGGAAAGAAGUUGCCCAAGGACGCGCUACUCCAGGGCCGCCUGAUCUGUGGAGCUGUUCAACGCUGAGCAGGUGAGUGAGAGGAAGCCACCAAGCCACCAGCUGCGUCGACGGGUUCUUUCCGAGGAGGAAACACAGACUAGCUUCUUGUUUCACUGACCAGACCCCCAGCCCCCACCUGCCAGCCCAGUUACAAAGGCAACCAGACACCUGAGGGAUUGCAGUGGCUCUGAGUUUGUUCCCAGUGGAAGUUACAGGAGCAGAAGCAGAAAAUGAGUGAUGUUCCUGUAUUCCCCUGAGUUUGCCAGCGCAAUUCCUCCGGGAUGGCCAUUUCCACAGCUUCCCUUCACCCCGCCAAGCCUUGCUCUACCCUUUGCCCUUAAAGCUGUCGUUCCCAUUGUUCCUAAUUUAAAUGCAAUGUCUACUAUUUCA